CCCUUAGAUGUUCUGGGCCGCACGCGCGCUACACUGACGAUGGCAACGAGUUUUUCCUUCGCCGAAAGGUGUGGGUAAUCUUUUGAAACAUCGUCGUGCUGGGGAUAGAUCAUUGCAAUUUUUGAUCAUGAACGAGGAAUUCCUAGUAAGCGCGAGUCAUCAGCUCGCGUUGAUUACGUCCCUGCCCUUUGUACACACCGCCCGUCGCUACUACCGAUUGAAUGGUUUAGUGAGGACUCCUGAUUGGCGCCGCCGCCCCGGCAACGGAGCAGCGGACUGCCGAAAAGUUGUUCAAACUUGAUCAUUUAGAGGAAGUAAAAGUCGUAACA
rnacentral:rRNA from 1 species